rnacentral:rRNA from 1 species
UUAUCUCUGUAGAGUCUGCAUAUCAAUAAGCGGAGGAAAAGAAACUAACUAGGAUUCCCUUAGUAACGGCGAGUGAAGCGGGAAGAGCUCAAAUUUGAAAUCUUCAAGGUUUUACCUUGACGAAUUGUAGUUUAAAGAAGUGUUUUCUGUUGGUGUUUUGGUAAAAGUUCUUUGGAAUAGGACAUCAUAGAGGGUGAGAAUCCCGUAUUUGACCAUUACUUCCAGCGUUGUGAUACACUUUCAAAGAGUCGGAUUGUUUGGGAAUGCAGUCCAAAAUGGGUGGUAAAUUUCAUCUAAAGCUAAAUAUUGGCGAGAGACCGAUAGCGAACAAGUACCGUGAGGGAAAGAUGAAAAGAACUUUGAAAAGAGAGUUAAACAGUACGUGAAAUUGUCAAAAGGGAAGCGUUUGACACCAGUGUUGUUUUCUCGAAAAUCAAUUAAAAAUGGCUUGAUUUUGUGUUGUAUUGACCUUAAAAGCUUUCUUCACUUUUUUCAUGUCUUUUUUAAUGCACUUUUCGUUUAACAAGUCAGCAUCAGUUUCUUUUGUUGUAAAAAGGUCAUUGGAAGGUGGCUUUCUUUUCGGAGAAAGUGUUUAUAGCCUUUGACUCCUGCAAUCGGAGAGACUGAGGUCUGCAGCGUAGAUCCUUUUGGAUUAGAUUCAUUUGUGCUAAGCUAUAGCUUUUUAUAGACAACAUGUUGACUAUAUUUAGUCAUGUAACUUACUCGCUUAUGUAAUUUUACCUACGCUUAGGAUGUUGAUCUCUCACAGUCGAGC